AUGCAUGCACGAGCAUUUCUCAAACUUCCAAGAGAUAUUGGCAAAGAAUCGAAGAUCAAUACUUCCGCAUUAUGGCAAAGCAUCCCAAUAGGACUCCACGCACAUUUCGGUCGCUUCAAGGGCGUUGGGAGAACAUCAAGCCUAUGUGCAGCUUGCUUGGAGCAAGUACGCAAUGCACCUUCAAGUGGCACCGCGGAGUCCGACUACGACAAGAUUGCUCAACAUAGAUACAAGGACAUGGAAGCUUCGGAAGGCAGAUUUAUCAAACUAGAGCAUUGUUGGGAGUUGCUCCAAAAGUGCGAGAAGUGGAAGUUGAUCGACAAAGAAUCCCCACCAAAGAGAGGCUCACUUACAAACAUGGAUGAAGAUGAGGAUGAUGAUGGCCCAAGAAAUUUGCACAAGCCCGAUGGCGACAAAAAGACUAAGGAGAAGAUCAAGAGAGAGCAAGAAGCAUCGAGCUUGAGGGAGAAGAUUGACGCCAUGGUGCAAUCCAACGAGUCGAUGUUGUUGAAGUCGUUGGAGAUCAAGAAAGAAUUGGCCGAGAAGAAGGCGAAGGAGAAGCAAGAAUAG
rnacentral:rRNA from 1 species